rnacentral:rRNA from 1 species
CUCUGUGCAAUGGAGCACACGGCUCGUGCAUCGAUGAAGCCCGCGGCAAAAAGCGAUAUGUAAUGAGAUUCGCUAGCCUCGAGAUUCAUCAAAUUGGUGAACGCAUCCAAAACCUGCAAAGGUACUUGCGUUAGAGUGCCAGUUUUUAUUCAAUUGCUUCUUGGUAAAGGUGAA